UUUAGGGACGAUUAGGCAGCUUG
rnacentral:piRNA from 1 species